rnacentral:rRNA from 1 species
CUAGUUGGUAGGGUAAUGGCCUACCAAGGCAAUGAUCGGUAGCCGGCCUGAGAGGGCACACGGCCACACUGGCACUGAAACACGGGCCAGACUCCUACGGGAGGCAGCAGUGGGGAAUCUUGCACAAUGGGGGAAACCCUGAUGCAGCGACGCCGCGUGAGCGAUGAAGCCCUUCGGGGUGUAAAGCUCUUUCGGCAGGAACGAUAAUGACGGUACCUGAAGAAGAAGCUGCGGCUAACUACGUGCCAGCAGCCGCGGUAAUACGUAGGCAGCAAGCGUUGUUCGGAGUUACUGGGCGUAAAGAGUGUGUAGGCGGUUCUCUAAGUUCGGUGUGAAAUCUCCCGGCUCAACUGGGAGGGUGCGCCGGAAACUGGAGGGCUUGAGUAUGGGAGAGGAAAGCGGAAUUCCUGGUGUAGCGGUGAAAUGCGUAGAUAUCAGGAGGAACACCUGCGGUGUAGACAGCUUUCUGGACCAUCACUGACGCUGAGACACGAAAGCGUGGGGAUCAAACAGGAUUAGAUACCCUGGUAGUCCACGCCCUAAACGAUGAUUACUCGACAUCAGCGAUACACUGUUGGUGUCUGAGCGAAAGCAUUAAGUAAUCCACCUGGGAAGUACGACCGCAAGGUUGAAACUCAAAGGAAUUGACG